CCACCGCGGUUAUACGAGAGGCCCAAGUUGACAGUUGCCGGCGUAAAGAGUGGUUAAAGAAUAAUAGAUACUAAAGCCGAACACCCUCAAGGCAGUUAUACGCACCCGAAGGUUAGAAGCCCAAUUACGAAAGUAGCUUUAUUUCUCCUGAACCCACGAGAGCUAUGGUACAAACUGGGAUUAGAUACCCCACUAUGCCUAGCCCUAAACAUUGAUAGUACCCUACACCCACUAUCCGCCUGGGAACUACGAGCAUCAGCUUGAAACCCAAAGGACUUGGCGGUGCUUUAGAUCCACCUAGAGGAGCCUGUUCUAGAACCGAUAACCCCCGUUCAACCUCACCUUUUCUUGUUUUCCCCGCCUAUAUACCGCCGUCGUCAGCUUACCCUGUGAAGGUCUAAUAGUAAGCAAAAUUGGCACAGCCCAAAACGUCAGGUCGAGGUGUAGCGUAUGGAAAGGGAAGAAAUGGGCUACAUUCCCUAUAACUAGUGAAUACGGACGAUGCACUGAAAAAACAUCUGAAGGAGGAUUUAGCAGUAAGCAGGAAAUAGAGCGUUCCGCUGAAAUCGGCCCUGAAGCGCGCACACACCGCCCGUCACUCUCCCCAAGCUCACAAACUAAUUAACUAAAAACCUAGAACUGCAAAGGGGAGGCAAGUCGUAACAUGGUAAGUG
rnacentral:rRNA from 1 species